CCCUAGCUGGUCUGAGAGGAUGACCAGCCACACUGGAACUGAGACACGGUCCAGACUCCUACGGGAGGCAGCAGUGGGGAAUAUUGCACAAUGGGCGCAAGCCUGAUGCAGCCAUGCCGC
rnacentral:rRNA from 1 species